GCGGGGCCUGCGACCGGAAGGCGAGCGGCCGGCUUCCGCGCGGGAACGCUGACUUCUGCUGGGGCGAACGGCGGUUUCAGCCCGGGAACCGCGGUGCUGGAGCCUUCAGGCCUCCGGAGAAAACGUUGAAAGAAGACAACUUUUUGGCUUCCCCCUCCUGUUGGAGUCCUGAGUCUGAUUCCAUACUCCUUCUUACAGCAUUUACAAACCAGUGCCACAGAACCUGUCUUUCUUGUAGUCAAGAUGAGUGAUGAACUGGACUUGUCAGAAGUGGAGAAGUUUGCCAGAUUGAAACUGAAGAAAACUAAUACUGAAGAAAAAAAAAUACUCUUUCCUCAAAAGAAAGUGUCUCAUCAUUAAGUAAUCACUGCAAUUACAGGAAGUUGAAAGUAUUUUCUCUGCUAUUGCCUAAACUUCCACAAGCAAAACAGUAGCUUUCUUCAAUCAUUUUGCAACACAAUAUACUGGGCACAAAUGUAGGAUAUGGAAUGGCUUUGUAUGUGUAUCAGGCAGCUAUUGCCACAUGCAAUCAAACACAGGAAUUGUUGAAUUUGUUAACUGGUUCUUGAAAAUUUUCUUCAUGUGGUUGCACAAGGAAAUCAGGUCCUUUGUAUAUCUUUGCAAGAAGAAUGACUUGGUGCUUUUGCUUUUACACCUUGAAUUGAUUACACUGUGUUAAAGGAGAAGAUCAAGCAAUGAAAAGUGUUUCUGCAAAGGCUGACUUGCCUCUAAUGUUUGACUGGGCAUCCAUGCCCUGAAGAUACCAUUACCAUAGUUUGGGAGAGGAUGACAGAGGACCAUCAGUGUGCUUGGAGUCUGGACUCAAACUGAUGUGGAUUUGAAUGAAUACUUUUCCAUUUAUCAGCUAUGUGAUUAUUGUACCCAUUACUCAGUCUCUCUGUGUCUUGUCUGCCAAAACAAAAGUUAAAAAAAUGUCUACCCCACUAAGAGUUAUUGGGAAGAGUCAAUGAGGUAAGCAGACCAUGGAAGAAACACAAUUUGCCAUUGUGGUGGAUUGACAACUGGUGGUCAGCUUUAACACCAAGCUGAACUGAAGCAGCGUGGUGCAGGGUGUGGGGACCCCACCUGAGGAGUGUUGCCAGCAACAUAAAAAGGAGAACUGGAGAAGAAGACGUGGGGGCUGUUGGUUCUUUUGGAGAACCAAUGAGCAUUGGAAAGCCCAUGCUGGAUUUCCAGAUAUGAACUCAGCUGUUCUCAUUGUUGGAGGAGCUUGGGACCUUGUUGUCACUGAGGAUGGCUGUGGUACUUU